rnacentral:rRNA from 1 species
UACGGAAGGGGGCUAGCGUUGUUUCGGAUUUACUGGGCGUAAAGCGCACGUAGGCGGGAUCGAUCAGUCAGGGGUGAAAUCCCAAGAGCUCAACUCUGGAACUGCCUUUGAUACUGUCGAUCUGGAGUAUGGAAGAGGUGAGUGGAAUUCCGAGUGUAGAGGUGAAAUUCGUAGAUAUUCGGAGGAACACCAGUGGCGAAGGCGGCUCACUGGUCCAUUACUGACGCUGGAGGUGACGAAAGCGUGGGGAGCAAACAGG